UACGAAGGGGGCUAGCGUUGUUCGGAAUUACUGGGCGUAAAGCGCGCGCAGGCGGUCUUCCAAGUCAGUGGUGAAAGCCCGGAGCUCAACUCCGGAACUGCCAUUGAAACUGUUAGACUUGAGGACGAGAGAGGUGAGUGGAAUUCCCAGUGUAGAGGUGAAAUUCGUAGAUAUUGGGAAGAACACCGGUGGCGAAGGCGGCUCACUGGCUCGUAUCUGACGCUCAGGCGCGAAAGCGUGGGGAUCAAACAGG
rnacentral:rRNA from 1 species